rnacentral:rRNA from 1 species
CCUACGGGAUGCACCAGUGGGGAAUAUUGCACAAUGGGCGCAAGCCUGAUGCAGCCAUGCCGCGUGUGCGAAGAAGGCCUUCGGGUUGUAAAGCACUUUCAGCGGGGAGGAAAGCGGUGAGGUUAAUAACCUCAUCGAUUGACGUUACCCGCAGAAGAAGCACCGGCUAACUCCGUGCCAGCAGCCGCGGUAAUACGGAGGGUGCAAGCGUUAAUCGGAAUUACUGGGCGUAAAGCGCACGCAGGCGGUCUGUCAAGUCGGAUGUGAAAUCCCCGGGCUCAACCUGGGAACUACAUUCGAAACUGGCAGGCUAGAGUCUUGUAGAGGGGGGUAGAAUUCCAGAUGUAGCGGUGAAAUGCGUAGAGAUCUGGAGGAAUACCGGUGGCGAAGGCGGCCCCCUGGACAAAGACUGACGCUCAGGUGCGAAAGCGUGGGGAGCAAACAGGAUUAGAUACCCCCGUAGUC